GGGGUUGUAGGACUCCAAUAUGGUAGUCUGUUAGUAUAGUUGAAGGAUUUGGAAAAUUCCGCUAAAGAGGGUGAAAGCCCCGUAGACGAAAUGCUGACAACACCUAGGAGGAUCCUGAGUACGGCGGAACACGAGAAAUUCCGUCGGAAUCCGCGGGGACCAUCCCGCAAGGCUAAAUACUCCCUAGUGACCGAUAGUGAACCAGUACCGUGAGGGAAAGGUGAAAAGCACCCCGGAAGGGGAGUGAAAUAGAUCCUGAAACCGUGUGCCUACAACAAGUCAAAGCUCGUUAAUGAGUGAUGGCGUGCCUUUUGUAGAAUGAACCGGCGAGUUACGAUUGCAUGCGAGGUUAAGUCGAAGAGACGGAGCCGCAGCGAAAGCGAGUCUGAAUAGGGCGAAUGAGUAUGUAGUCGUAGACCCGAAACCAUGUGAUCUACCCAUGUCCAGGUUGAAGGUGCGGUAAAACGCACUGGAGGACCGAACCCACGUACGUUGAAAAGUGCGGGGAUGAGGUGUGGGUAGCGGAGAAAUUCCAAACGAACUUGGAGAUAGCUGGUUCUCUCCGAAAUAGCUUUAGGGCUAGCCUCGGAAUUGAGAAUGAUGGAGGUAGAGCACUGUUUGGACUAGGGGCCCAUCUCGGGUUACCGAAUUCAGAUAAACUCCGAAUGCCAUUCAUUUAUAUCCGGGAGUCAGACUGCGAGUGAUAAGAUCCGUAGUCGAAAGGGAAACAGCCCAGACCACCAGCUAAGGUCCCAAAAUAUAUGUUAAGUGGAAAAGGAUGUGGGGUUGCACAGACAACUAGGAUGUUGGCUUAGAAGCAGCCACCAUUUAAAGAGUGCGUAAUAGCUCACUAGUCGAGUGACCCUGCGCCGAAAAUGUACCGGGGCUAAACAUAUUACCGAAGCUGUGGACUACACCAUUAGGUGUAGUGGUAGGAGAGCGUUCUAAGGGCGUUGAAGGUCGAUCGUGAGGACGGCUGGAGCGCUUAGAAGUGAGAAUGCCGGUAUGAGUAGCGAAAGACAGGUGAGAAUCCUGUCCACCGUAUGACUAAGGUUUCCUGGGGAAGGCUCGUCCGCCCAGGGUUAGUCGGGACCUAAGCCGAGGCCGAUAGGCGUAGGCGAUGGACAACAGGUUGAUAUUCCUGUACCAGUUGUUUUUGUUUGAGCAAUGGAGGGACGCAGUAGGCUAAGGAAUGCAUGCGAUUGGAAGUGCAUGUCCAAGCAAUGAGUCUUGAGUAGAGUUAAAUGCUUUACUCUUUAAGGACAAGUUGUGACGGGGAGCGAAAUAAUAGUAGCGAAGUUCCUGAUGUCACACUGCCAAGAAAAGCUUCUAGUGAGAAAAUAACUGCCCGUACCGUAAACCGACACAGGUAGUCGAGGAGAGUAUCCUAAGGUGAGCGAGCGAACUCUCGUUAAGGAACUCGGCAAAAUGACCCCGUAACUUCGGGAGAAGGGGUGCUGACUUCGGUCAGCCGCAGUGAAUAGGCCCAAGCGACUGUUUAUCAAAAACACAGGUCUCUGCAAAAUCGUAAGAUGAAGUAUAGGGGCUGACGCCUGCCCGGUGCUGGAAGGUUAAGAGGAUGGGUUAGCUUCGGCGAAGCUCAGAAUUGAAGCCCCAGUAAACGGCGGCCGUAACUAUAACGGUCCUAAGGUAGCGAAAUUCCUUGUCGGGUAAGUUCCGACCCGCACGAAAGGCGUAACGAUUUGGGCACUGUCUCAACGAGAGACUCGGUGAAAUUUUAGUACCUGUGAAGAUGCAGGUUACCCGCGACAGGACGGAAAGACCCCAUGGAGCUUUACUGUAGUUUGAUAUUGAGUGUUUGUACCACAUGUACAGGAUAGGUAGGAGCCGAUGAGACCGGAACGCUAGUUUCGGAGGAGGCGCUGGUGGGAUACUACCCUUGUGUUAUGAACCCUCUAACCCGCACCACUAAUCGUGGUGGGAGACAGUGUCAGAUGGGCAGUUUGACUGGGGCGGUCGCCUCCUAAAAGGUAACGGAGGCGCCCAAAGGUUCCCUCAGAAUGGUUGGAAAUCAUUCGAAGAGUGUAAAGGCAGAAGGGAGCUUGACUGCGAGACCUACAAGUCGAGCAGGGACGAAAGUCGGGCU
rnacentral:rRNA from 1 species